UGAAAGCCUGGGGUGCCCCGCGAGGGGAGCCCUAGCACAGGUGCUGCAUGGCCGUCGUCAGCUCGUGCCGUGAGGUGUUGGGUUAAGUCCCGCAACGAGCGCAACCCCGCCGUUAGUUGCCAGCGGUUCGGCCGGGCACUCUAACGGGACUGCCCGCGAAAGCGGGAGGAAGGAGGGGACGACGUCUGGUCAGCAUGGCCCUUACGGCCUGGGCGACACACGUGCUACAAUGCCCACUACAAAGCGAUGCCACCCGGCAACGGGGAGCUAAUCGCAAAAGGUGGGCCCAGUUCGGAUUGGGGUCUGCAACCCGACCCCAUGAAGCCGGAAUCGCUAGUAAUCGCGGAUCAGCCAUGCCGCGGUGAAUACGUUCCCGGGCCUU
rnacentral:rRNA from 1 species